rnacentral:rRNA from 1 species
UACAGAGGGUGCAAGCGUUAAUCGGAAUUACUGGGCGUAAAGCGUGCGUAGACGGUUGCGUAAGUCAGAUGUGAAAGCCCCGGGCUCAACCUGGGAAUUGCAUUUGAGACUGCGUAGCUAGGGUGCGGAAGAGGGAAGCGGAAUUUCCGGUGUAGCGGUGAAAUGCGUAGAUAUCGGAAGGAACACCAGUGGCGAAGGCGGUCCCCUGGGCCGGAACUGACGCUGAGGCGCGAAAGCGUGGGUAGCAAACGGG